AGAUAAAAAAAGACCGAAUACGAUUCCUAUAUUCGGUCUAGGGAAAUGGCUCUUGGGAGAGAGCCGUGCGCUAAAAGUUGGCAUUUAUGCAGGGCUUACUCAGCCAUGCACUUUAAGAGUAGCCUAACAUGCUAUUUUUGCCAGCCA
rfam:Chania multitudinisentens RB-25, complete genome.